UAUAUUUUAAAGUAGUUAGUGGUGUGUAAGGUUUUGUAAGGCUUUCAGUGCCAUCGAUCUGUAUUGUAAACCGUUCGCAUGUAGAAGGCGGUACUAAAUGCCUUCGUUAUUCGUUUGAUUUUCAUCUGCCGUUCCUCUCAGUUUGCAGCGAGGUUUGAAGCAUGUUUACAGGUGCAGUCGAAGCCAACGUUGCAUACAAGUGUAUUUUUCAUUUGUGUUGUACAAAAUCAAUGUUCUAUUGUUUUGUUGGGAGUUUGCUGUUCUUACGUUUUCUAGCGAUGAGUGUUGAACAUAAGUAUUGUGUAUUUUGUUCGUCUUCUGACUGUGGCUAAGUGGUCACUUAGAUUAAAUCUACCACUCAACACAGUCUAAUACUCAAUUUAUUGAAAACGCUGUUGCUAGUGGACAUAUAGAGAGUUCGGCGUUUGCUGAAAGUUGUGGAUACCCAUGGACACAAAAUCAUUUAUGUACCUGCGGGAAAAUGGGUGCCCAUGGGACAAAUCCACAUGUGAGGCGACUGCGGCAUGGGGGCACAUUGAUGUACUUCGGUAUGCUCACGAAUGCAGCUGUCCCUGGGAUUCAGCCACGUAUCGGGAAGCCGUAGCCCACGGCUACCUAACGUGUCCGGAGUAUGAACUUGAAAAUGGUUGCCUAUUGGACAGUAUGACAUGUGAAGAUGCUGCAGCCAGUGGCUAUCUCAGCUGUCUAGUGUAUGAACACAGCAACAGCAGCCUUUGGAGCCUUUGGAGCCUGUUGGAGAUCGUCACAGAGGCUCAUUGUACACGCUUUGGUGUCGUAUACAACUCACAAAUACAUUGAACUUUAAAGAAUACUUGAUGAAGGAACAUACAGUUGCCAGUAGACAUAUGGAGUGUUUGGCGUUUGCUGAAAGUCGUGGGUACCUAUGGACAUGAAAUAUAUGCGUGCAGGUGGCCGCCAUUGGAUAGCUCGAGUGCCUCAAGUACCCGCGUGACCAGGACGUUUCCCUUAAACUAGUACUCCACGGCCAACAGCCACUUGAAGUGCCUGCGGCACGCACAUGAACAGUCUGUGGGAAUUUUGUCUGUGGGACUCGAUCGUCUGCGAGAAAGCGGCCGGCAAUGGACAACUUGAGUGUUUGGAGACCCUGUGGGACAUCGGGUGUCCACGGGACGAAUCGACAUGUAAGGCGGUCGUGGCGAGUGGGCACAUUGACGUACUUUGUUAUGCUCACGAACAUGACUGUCCCUGGGAUUCGGCCACGUGUCAGGAAGCCGCGGCCCACGCCCAUCUAACGUGUCUGGAGUACGCACAUGAAAAUGGUUGCCUGUGGGACAGUACAACAUGUAAAGAGGCCGCAUCCAGCGUUUUCCCGGUUUUUUAAGUUUUGUUUUUAAUACUGCUUCAAUCCUUUAAAAAUCAUAUAUAACUAUGUAUAUUAAUUACAAUAUAAUAUAUACCUUUUGAAAUUAUUCAAGUUA